rnacentral:lncRNA from 1 species
AUUUUGACAACUGAGCUCAAACGCUUGACUUCUGAGGGCUGUCAAUAAUGUCAGGUUGUGAACUGCUUUUUCUUGUUAAUAGGAGCUGUGCAGCUUAAAGCCACAUUAAAUGCCAAGCAGCCAGUCCUUAAUUUGUAAUGAAAGAGGUACCGGGGCUCAAGCAAUAUUUUUACAUUCAUAACUGAUGCAGCAAGCCCAGAGGUGCUGGGACUAUGAACUGCCAAGCCUAGAGGUGCCAGGGGCUCAUAUCUGGCAAGCCCUGGCACAAAUUAAACACUGCAGGCAGCCCUAGAUCCUAGUUAGUUAGGAGGGUGUGUAUCUGUGUUUGUGUGUGUGCUUAGAGUAAGGCUUUAUCUUUAGAAAUCUUUAUAGGACAGAAAUGCUGCGGCUGGUUAAGGGUAAAAAUAGUUCUGAGUUUUCAAUGGCUGCAUUCCAUGACUGGAGCCUGAAAUCAUGAAUCAGGGCUCAAUGCUCAGUCUGUGUGAGACCAAGUGUGAGAGCUCUGCAACUGGAGGCAGGAGGGGAGCAGCUAGCUGGGAUGAGUCCGACCCCGGCAUCACUAAUAUUUUGGGAGGGACCUGUGCUGCUUGUACGGUCCCAACAAGAGCUGAAGAGGUGCAGCAUGGCUCACAACUGCCUGCAGUGCAUCAAGUACCUAAUGUUUGUCUUCAACCUCCUCUUCUGGGUGAGUACACAUCUGAGAUUGAGAGCUGUUUGCCUUUGUUUCCCCUUU